rnacentral:rRNA from 1 species
GAUGAACGCUGGCGGCGUGCUUAACACAUGCAAGUCGAACGAUGAAGCCCAGCUUGCGGGGUGGAUUAGUGGCGAACGGGUGAGUAACACGUGAGUAACCUGCCCUUAACUCUGGGAUAAGCCUGGGAAACUGGGUCUAAUACCGGAUAGGAGCGUCCACCGCAUGGUGGGUGUUGGAAAGAUUUAUCGGUUUUGGAUGGACUCGCGGCCUAUCAGCUUGUUGGUGAGGUAAUGGCUCACCAAGGCGACGACGGGUAGCCGGCCUGAGAGGGUGACCGGCCACACUGGGACUGAGACACGGCCCAGACUCCUACGGGAGGCAGCAGUGGGGAAUAUUGCACAAUGGGCGCAAGCCUGAUGCAGCGACGCCGCGUGAGGGAUGACGGCCUUCGGGUUGUAAACCUCUUUCAGUAGGGAAGAAGCGAAAGUGACGGUACCUGCAGAAGAAGCACCGGCUAACUACGUG